GACGAACGCUGGCGGCGUGCCUAAUACAUGCAAGUCGAACGCAUUUUCUUUCACCGUAGCUUGCUACACCGAAAGAAAAUGAGUGGCGAGCGGGUGAGUAACACGUGGGUAACCUGCCCAUCAGCGGGGGAUAACACUUGGAAACAGGUGCUAAUACCGCAUAAUUCCAUUUACCGCAUGGUAGAUGGGUGAAAGGCGCUUUUGCGUCACUGAUGGAUGGACCCGCGGUGCAUUAGCUAGUUGGUGGGGUAACGGCCUACCAAGGCUGCGAUGCAUAGCCGACCGGAGAGGGUGAUCGGCCACACUGGGAGUGAGACACGGCCCAGACUGCUACGGGAGGCAGCAGUAGGGAAUCGUCGGCAAUGGACGCAAGUCUGACCGAGCAACGCCGCGGGAGGGAAGAAGGUUUUCGGAUCGUAAAACUCUGUUGUUAGAGAAGAACAAGGAUGAGAGUGGAAAGUUCAUCCCUUGACGGUAGCUAACCAGAAAGCCACGGCUAACUACGUG
rnacentral:rRNA from 1 species